AAGAGCAGUCAGAGCUCUUAACCCCUAAGGCAUCUCUCCAACCUGAGGUUCAGAUUCUUAUGGGUUGAUGGUUUACAGCUCUAGUCAUUUUUUUUCCUGAGGUUCCUCAGCAAACUUUGGCUAUAAUGUAUGUAAUAAUUUUGUCCUUUUGAUGAUGCCCUUUGAAUCAGGACUGCAGCCUGUAAACUCAUAGGUAUUUUUCCAAGGACCAUCAAUCUAUACUGGAUAACUUAUGUAAAUGAUGGUCCAUUUCUGCUGCAUAACAAGUGGGAGAAUUUGCUCCAGGACAGCUGUUGCCACUUCUCUGGCAUUCUCAGUACUGAUGAGGGCAGCUUCUAUCCAGCUAGGAUGUGGUUCACAAACAGACACCUGACCCUGGUGCAAGAGGACUUGUAAACAGAGUCUAUUUGACAGUCCUUACCUGGGCAGGUGUCUCUUCUCUGUGUUGGUUCAAGGAAUGGGACAGGUCACUAGUUGACAGAACACUUCUUACUGUGAUGGUCAGCCCUUAUCGUAGGAACGGUCAAAUUGCCAUUUCAGAGGUAGGCCUCUCUUUCUCAGUGGGAUGUCAUGUAUUAUUUAUUUUCUAUUCUACAAUCUGAGGGCAUAACACUCGACUCACUACAGAGAUCAGUCUUCUUUGCUUCUUUUCCCAGAACCCUUGUGAGUUCUAUAGUUUGACUGUAAAUAAUUUUCUUUCUAUUAAAAUUCUUGAGUCUGUAAGACUACCAUACUUCCUAUAAUUACUAACCAGUUUUCUUGGCCAAUCUCACAUAUGUCUUCUGGUGACUCUUGCAGUAUCUGAAUGUUACUCAAGAGGAGAGUUGGAUAGCUCCCAAUAGAUUUUUGAUGAUUUGCUUAUAGUUUAUGAGUGCACUCUCGGCACUUAACCACCCUCCUCUUUCCUGGUGGUAGCUUGAAAACCAUGAAAGCAUGCUUUGAAGAAGUCCAGAUGCUAACCCUUUUUUUCUUCCCCCAAAUAAGUCCCCUUGCUUGGUAUAUUAGUUUAGCCUUCUUGGCCAAUGAAGAAGGGGAUAUUGACUAUUGACUCCACAUCAAAUGCUGCUCUUUGGCUGACCACUGUGCUACCACGUCUUGUUCUUCAUUUAAAGGUAACAACUCCCAUCGGCAAACCAGGUCUCUUCUGGAUUGUCCCGGGUUGGCCGCUUAAAUCCCACUAUCAGGCACAAGUGAAGCAGAUGGUCUCAGUACACAACUGCCUCUGAGAUAACACCAUCCAUCCUGGUGAGAUCAUUAAGACAUGGGACGUUCUAAAGGAAGGUAAAACAUGUCCUACAGUAAGGACUUCUAGGCAACACUCUGAGAUGAGAUGAGCUGCCUUAAAGCAGCACUCUCCAACCUGCUGAGCUGCUUGCUUGUGCCGAGUUGCAGGAUUCCAGCUUUCCUGAGCCGUCACCUACAUUGGGUAGACUUUGAGUGAUACAGCUGCCUUUGGAUCAUUUCUGCUUUUGUAAGUAACCCAAGCAGAACUUCAUAGUUCACCAAACUGGACUUCUGUCAUAUCCAUACAUUGGUUCCCUAUCUGGGGUCAGUAAAUAUUGGUCCACAUCUCCAGAGGAAUAAUUUUACCCAUGCCAUGCUUUGGGAGUUUACCAUAGGUUCUAAAGGCCAGCUUGUAACAAAGCAGGUGGUAGAAGACAGAAACAUGAUUGAGUUGUUCAGUGGAGAAAAGUGGCCACAGAAAGCAUGGCAUUACCAUGGAGAUGAACAUUUUUGGUGACUUGGUGAGUAUUACAGGGAUGGCUUAACUCUGUGCUUCUGGUUGUCAAGUCUAUGCUUCUGAACCUAGUACAGGAUUCAGGAAAGUGAUGAAUUCCCUAACAAGCCAGAAACAAGAAAAGGAGUUUUCCAGAAACCUUCUGGAUGAUGUUCCCAGCUCUGGACUAGAGAACAGAAAGCUAUGUGACUCCUGUGAAGGAUCAGGUGUGACAUGUCUUGUCUUUUCAUCCAGUGCCCGCUGGGAAAGCCAGGAAAAAAUUGGCAUCUUUGCUUUGACAAACUGCUGUGCUUAAAUACCUACCAUAGGUUCUAUACACAAAACCUCUCUCUCUCUCUCUCUCUCUCUCUCUCUCUCUCUCUCUCUCUCUCUCUCUCUCUCUCUCUCUCUCUCUCUGUUAACUGUUGCUCUUGUUGGGCUUUCAGUGUAGCAGGUGCCUUAGAAGUGUUCUGAAAUACUAGCAAGCUUACAGGACCUACUAGACUGCUUCCAACCUUAGGGAAACCUGGGCUGCACUGGCAGCAUGAUUGGCCAGCCUUCCUGUAUAUGAAGGUCAGCAGAGGCCUGGACACUGAGGAGUCUUGUUCUUAUGAAGAAAUGGUAACUGCAAUGUCUAUGUUGCCAUUCCAUCUCAUGUUAUGGGAAGGGGGCAAUUGCAGAAAAUCCAUGGUCUUCAGAACUCACAUUGGAAGGUAGAAUCACUGUGUGCUAUCAGUGUCUCAUUGUCAGUCGGUGCACAGCUUUCUGAUGUGAUGGUUCCAUGUAGCUGUUUCUGCUUCUCUGCACACAGAGAACACGCAAACCUUUCCACAUAUAGCACAGAUUCUUCAUAUGAAAAUUUCUACAGACUAGAAGAUCCAUGGGUGUCCUUGAAGACAUGAAACUUGAUUUUCAGUUCCAAGUUUCCCAGUUCAUUUCACUUCCUGGGAUGGUUUGUAGCAGCCUAGACUUUGGUGUGCUCUACAAAGUGCAGGACGUUGUAGCUCUAACUCGUGCUCACCAAGAGAUAGGUGGAAGUAAUUCAGUCUCUCUCUUCUCCCUUUACAUUUAAAAGCCUGAGAAUUCUCUGCUAAUAUCACAGACUUUGUGUAAAUCCCAGAGAAUGAGGGUGCCCUGGUGCAUGCCAUGCUACAGUGGGACCUGUGUCUGCUUCUAUUGUCUGUAGCCAAGAUUUCUUCCAGUUCUACAGUAGAGAUACAGAGGCAAGGUCUCAUGCUGACCUAACGCUGACCUCUGUUCAGGCUGUCAUGACUGCAAGAGCAGAAGACUGCCUAUGCAUCCCAGAGUUGGCUCUGUGUGCCCUUUGGCCUCCAGAACUUCUUCAGAAUAUGAUUGAAGGUACUCAGAAUGAAUGGGAAAUUAUCCCAUGGAACUGGAAUUCAAACACAGGUGCCCACAGAGCCCUCAAGAACAAACAACACUAUAUUCAG
rnacentral:sRNA from 1 species